AUACAGAGGGCUCGAGCGUUGAUCGGAAUCAUUGGGCUUAAAGGGUACGUGGGCGGGCUUGAAAGUAUCUUGUGAAAUCCCACGGCUCAACCGUGGCACUGCGAGGUAAACUUCAAGUCUUGAGAUCGGUAGAGGUUGUCGGAACAAUAGGUGGAGCGGUGAAAUGCGUAGAUAUCUAUUGGAACGCCAAAGGAGAAGUCAGACAACUGGGCCGAAUCUGACGCUGAGGUACGAAAGCGUGGGUAGCGAACGGGAUUAGAAACCCUUGUAGUCC
rnacentral:rRNA from 1 species